rnacentral:rRNA from 1 species
UACAGAGGUCUCAAGCGUUGUUCGGAAUCACUGGGUGUAAAGGGAGCGCAGACGGCAGCGCAAGUCUGGAGUGAAAGCCCGGGGCCCAACCCCGGAACUGCUCUGGAAACUGUGCGGCUAGAGUACUGGAGGGGCAGGCGGAAUUCCUAGUGUAGCGGUGAAAUGCGUAGAUAUUAGGAGGAACACCAGUGGCGAAGGCGGCCUGCUGGACAGUAACUGACGUUGAGGCUCGAAAGCGUGGGGAGCAAAAAGG